UUGAGUAGUUCUUAUAAAGUGUGAUGAUCUUCUUUUUAUUCAUGUAAAACAUAGAGUGUUGCCCUUAAGAGAGGAAAAGACCCCAAAGAGGACAAAACAAAAGAUCCCAAAGAGGGAAAAUGAGAGAUAAAUAGAAAGAUCCAAAGAGGCCACAAAAACAUAAAAGAAAAAGAAAAAAAGAAAAAAAAGAGAAGGGGUAACACUAGUAUUCCUUUUGAAAUAUCCACACUCGUACUU
rnacentral:lncRNA from 1 species